rnacentral:rRNA from 1 species
UGGAACUGAGACACGGUCCAAACUCCUACGGGAGGCAGCAGUGGGGAAUAUUGCACAAUGGGCGAAAGCCUGAUGCAGCAACGCCGCGUGAGUGAUGAAGGCCUUCGGGUCGUAAAACUCUGUCCUCAAGGAAGAUAAUGCCGGUACUUGAGGAGGAAGCCCCGGCUAACUACGUGCCAGCAGCCGCGGUAAUACGUAGGGGGCUAGCGUUAUCCGGAUUUACUGGGCGUAAAGGGUGCGUAGGCGGUCUUUCAAGUCAGGAGUGAAA